GUCCCGGUAGCUCAGUCGGAUAGAGCGGCCGCCUCCUAAGCGGCAGGUCACAGGUUCGAUUCCUGUUCGGGACACCA
rnacentral:tRNA from 2 species